rnacentral:rRNA from 1 species
ACUCAAAUGAAUUGACGGGGGCCCGCACAAGCGGUGGAGCAUGUGGUUCAAUUCGACGCAACGCGAAGAACCUUACCCAGGCUUGAACAGCGAGUGACCACGUCCGAAAGGGCGCUUCCGCAAGGACACUCGUAGAGGUGCUGCAUGGCUGUCGUCAGCUCGUGUCGUGAGAUGUUGGGUUAAGUCCCGCAACGAGCGCAACCCUUGUUUGCUGUUGCCAUCACGUUAUGGUGGGCACUCUGCAAAGACUGCCGGUGAUAAACCGGAGGAAGGUGGGGAUGACGUCAAGUCAGCAUGGCCUUUAUGUCUGGGGCGACAAACGUGCUACAAUGGCCGGUACAAACCGUUGCAAAACCGUAAGGUCGAGCUAAUCGGAGAAAGCCGGUCUCAGUUCGGAUUGUAGGCUGCAACUCGCCUGCAUGAAGUUGGAAUCGCUAGUAAUCGCGGAUCAGCACGCCGCGGUGAAUACGUUCCCGGGCCUUGUACACACCGCCCGU